rnacentral:rRNA from 1 species
UAGGGAAUAUUGGACAAUGGGUGAGAGCCUGAUCCAGCCAUGCCGCGUGCAGGAAGAAGGCGUUAUGCGUUGUAAACUGCUUUUUGCCAGGGGAUAAAAAGACCGUGCGCAGUUAAUUGAAGGUACCUGGUGAAUAAGCCACGGCUAACUACGUGCCAGCAGCCGCGGUAAUACGUAGGUGGCAAGCGUUGUCCGGAUUUAUUGGGCGUAAAGGGUGCGUAGGUUGUUUGAUAAGAUAUAUGUGAAAUACCUGGGCUCAACCUGGGAAGGUCAUAUAAGACUGUCAGACUCGAGUGUGUCAGAGGGAGGUGGAAUUCCGCGUGUAGCAGUGAAAUGCGUAGAUAUGCGGAGGAACACCGAUGGCGAAGGCAGCCUCCUGGGAUAACACUGACGCUCAUGCACGAAAGCGUGGGGAGCAAACAGGAUUAGAUACCCAGGUAGUCCCUGAGCGGGCUGGCAAGGCGCAU